rnacentral:rRNA from 1 species
AUUGAACGCUGGCGGCAUGCUUUACACAUGCAAGUCGAACGGUAACAGGCCGCAAGGUGCUGACGAGUGGCGAACGGGUGAGUAAUGCAUCGGAACGUGCCCAGUCGUGGGGGAUAACGCAGCGAAAGCUGUGCUAAUACCGCAUACGAUCGAUGGAUGAAAGCGGGGGACCGUAAGGCCUCGCGCGAUUGGAGCGGCCGAUGUCAGAUUAGGUAGUGGGUGGGGUAAAGGCCUACCAAGCCGACGAUCUGUAGCUGGUCUGAGAGGACGACCAGCCACACUGGGACUGAGACACGGCCCAGACUCCUACGGGAGGCAGCAGUGGGGAAUUUUGGACAAUGGGCGCAAGCCUGAUCCAGCAAUGCCGCGUGCAGGAAGAAGGCCUUCGGGUUGUAAACUGCUUUUGUACGGAACGAAACGGUCUGGGUUAAUACCCUGGGCUAAUGACGGUACCGUAAGAAUAAGCACCGGCUAACUACGUGCCAGCCGCCGCCGUAACAC